GGGAGAAACAGUGGGAAGGACUGGGGAACACUGGGCACAGCCUGAAGGGGAAGGGAAGAGACCACGGUGAAGGACACUCCGGGGAGGCAGGCUGAGCAAGAGAGACACUGUUCUGGGGGUCCCGGGCUGCUCCUGGCGCCUGUGGCCUAAGGACCCUGGACCAGACAUGAUUACCUAUCCUUCUUUUUCCUUCUUAUCACAAAGUACAUGUUCUCCAUAGAAAACAGAAACAAACAAAAAAACAGAAAUCAUCCAAGAUCCCUCCAGGACAAUUAUUAACUAUUAAGAUCUGUGUAGUCAUUCUUGCCUGUUCAAAUACAGGAUCAUUCUGUACCUGCCACAUUUUUUUUUUUUUACUGAGCCAAAGAAGGUGAAUAUUUCUCAUUAAACAUUUUUCUAGCCCAAUCUCCCCUCAUUAUUGUACAGCAGUCCACGUGCAUGCACUAUGUGAGUCUAUUCAACCAGUUUCCUACUGGUGGCCAUUAGGCUGUUUCCCCUUCUCGCUGUGAGAAAAGCCCCACAGCUGGACCCAAGGAUGGGCUGCUCCAGGCCCCAGGUGGGAUGGUGCUGGCUACUGGGGGCUCCUGACCCCCAUCUAGCGUCCUUUCUCCCCCAGCAGAGGCAGAGCCUUGUGUGAAGUGUGGGGAGGUGGGUACAAGGGUCUUGCCCUUCUACACCACUCUCAGAGUGAUUUCCAGUGACUCUCAAACUUGAAUAGGCAGAGAUGAGGUGGGUAAAUGCAGGUUCCCAGGCCCCACCAGGCAUUAUGAAAGCUGGUGGUCCAAGGUAGGGCCCAGGAGCCUACAGCUGAGCCCAUCAAGGCCAUCAAGGUCAACCCCAGGCGAUUCUGAGGCUGGCCAAGAUUCUGCAGCUGUGAGGUUACGUGACAUUGUUAAGGUCUCCCAAGUGCCACCAGCAGGGGCUGCAACAGGAAGCCGGACAGUCCAGCCCCAGAGCCCGGGUUCCUCACUCCAACUCUCAACACCCCCUGCAGUUUUCUGUUCAAGCCCCACAAUCAUGGCAAGAGGAGGAAAGAGACUCCAGAUGUGGCUGGAUUUUCUGGCUCCAGGACCCCGGGCUUGACUCCCCUUCUCCUUCCACAAGUGCCCAGAACCCAGGAGGAUGAAGCAGGGUCUGCUGGCUCAGGAAGCACUGCUGUGGCCGCGCAGGCUGGCCUCCUCCAGUCGCAGGAGAGGCUGCCCCAACCGACAGGCUCCCAGGGCUGGACAGGACCGGAUGGGACUCUGGACUUGUCAAGGUCACCAGCGUUCUUGGCUAGGGCGGAAACUUGGGAAAUGAAACCAGCCGUCACCUCGCUGCAACCCGGCCACAGAUUUCCAACGGCCAUGCCAGGCGGGCCUCACCCCUGCCACAGUCUAAGGCCUCUGCCCUCCUCCCUGGGGCCCAGGGGAGCACCGCCAACCUUGCCCCCAGACCCAGUCCAGCGCUGAGACAUGCUCGGAGUAAAGCUGAUGAGAAAGCAGAGGGUUUCUAGCCAACGCCCUGGGAAGCCUGCCAUCGGGAAGCUGACGGUCUCACCGCCUUCUGGAGCAGACGUGGGGCUCACCUCUCCAGCGGGCUUUCCGCAUACUUGGAGGGGUGAGGGGAGGUACUCCAGGGUGGCAUGGUGAGCCAUCCUCUGUCCGCACUGAACC
ensembl:lncRNA